rnacentral:rRNA from 1 species
CCGCAAACCGACACAGGUGGGUGAGGAGAGUAUCCUAAGGCCAGCGAGAGAACUGUUGUUAAGGAACUCGGCAAAAUGACCCCGUAACUUAGGGAUAAGGGGGGCCACCAUCAGGUGGCCGCAGAGAAUAGGCCCAAGCGACUGUUUACCAAAAACAUAGGUUUCUGCUAAGUCGCAAGACGAUGUAUAGGAGCUGACGCCUGCCCGG